UACGUAGGGGGCUAGCGUUGUCCGGAAUUAUUGGGCGUAAAGGGCUCGUAGGCGGUCUGUCGCGUCGGGAGUGAAAACUCAGGGCUUAACCCUGAGCCUGCUUCCGAUACGGGCAGACUAGAGGUAUGCAGGGGAGAACGGAAUUCCUGGUGUAGCGGUGAAAUGCGCAGAUAUCAGGAGGAACACCGGUGGCGAAGGCGGCGUUCUGGACUGUAACUGACACUGAGAAACGAAAGCCAGGGUAGCAAACGGG
rnacentral:rRNA from 1 species